rnacentral:rRNA from 1 species
GAUGAACGCUGGCGGCGCGCCUAAUACAUGCAAGUCGAGCGAGAAGACGUAGCAAUACGUUUGUAAAGCGGCGAACGGGUGAGGAAUACAUGGGUAACCUACCCUCGAGUGGGGAAUAACUAGCCGAAAGGUUAGCUAAUACCGCGUACGCUUCUUGGACUUCGGCUCAGGGAGGAAAGCGAUACCGUGGGUAUCGCGCUCUUGGAUGGGCUCAUGUCCUAUCAGCUUGUUGGGAGGUAACGGCUCACCAAGGCUUCGACGGGUAGCUGGUCUGAGAGGACGAUCAGCCACACUGGCACUGCGACACGGGCCAGACUCCUACGGGAGGCAGCAGUAAGGAAUAUUGCGCAAUGGGCGAAAGCCUGACGCAGCGACGCCGCGUGGGGGAGGU